AAUGAACGCUGGCGGCAGGCCUAACACAUGCAAGUCGAACGAGAAGCCACCUUCGGGUGGUGGACAGUGGCAGACGGGUGAGUAACGCGUGGGAACGUGCCUUUCGGUUCGGGAUAACCCAGGGAAACUUGGGCUAAUACCGGAUACGCCCUUCGGGGGAAAGAUUCAUUGCCGAAAGAUCGGCCCGCGUCGGAUUAGCUAGUUGGUGGGGUAAAAGCCUACCAAGGCGACGAUCCGUAGCUGGUCUGAGAGGAUGACCAGCCACACUGGGACUGAGACACGGCCCAGACUCCUACGGGAGGCAGCAGUGGGGAAUAUUGGACAAUGGGCGCAAGCCUGAUCCAGCCGUGCCGCGUGGGUGAAGAAGGCCUUAGGGUUGUAAACCCCUUUCAGCGGGGAAGAUAAUGACGGUACCCGCAGAAGAAGUCCCGGCUAACUCCGUGCCAGCAGCCGCCGUAA
rnacentral:rRNA from 1 species